UUCGUAGGUGGUGCGGCAAGUUGGAAGUGAAAUCUCUGGGCUUAACUUAGAGGCUGCUUUCAAAACUGCCGUGCUCGAGUGCGAGAGAGGUCAGUGGAAUUGCAGGUGUAGCGGUGAAAUGCGUAGAUAUCUGCAGGAACACCCGUGGCGAAGGCGGCUGACUGGAUCGCAACUGACACUGAGGAACGAAAGCUAGGGGAGCAAACAGGAUUAGAUACCCUGGUAGUCCUAGCCCUAAACCAUCAGAACUUGGGGUGGCCCGCGUAGGCGGGUCGUCCCGUAGCUAACGCGUUAAGUUCUGCGCCUGGGGAGUACGGUCGCAAGACUGAA
rnacentral:rRNA from 1 species